GGCACUGUUCUAAACAAUGGGAAUAAUAACGAUAUGGACAUUGUGACAUUGUGAGAGCUAAUGAACAUUAUCCAUUCAUACAUAUUUUUUAUAUAUAUAUAUAUAUAUAUAUAUAUAUAUAUAUAUAUAUAUAUAUAUAUACACACACACAUACACAACAAUGUCCAUAUAAUAUUAUUAUUUUCACUUGCAGAUAAGCGACCUUGGUCACAAAGAGUUAAAUAACUUGUCCAAGAUCACACAGCUAAGAGAUUCCAAGGUCUGGGCACACUUGCUGCAAAUGAGAGGUGCAUGAACUUAGCAUAUUAAACACUGGUGUGUCACUGGUCUGAGAGAAGAUCUCUAACCCAAGCUGGCCCAAUAAUUGGACCUGAGCUCAUGGCCACUAAUUGGUCCAAAUUGUGUGGGUGUCACCCAAGUUUGUGCCAAUCACAAUAUUUCCUGUGAGCGUUUGCCUCUGGAGACCAAGUUCAGAAGAAGCAAAGCAAAGAGCUGCAACAUCAUCUGUAGAAACUGGGAGAGAUCAGCGCUCCAAAAACAGAGAAAAGCCAAGAGUGACAGCGAGUAAAUCUUGGUGGAGUUCAGGUCUCUCAGUCUAGUUUUCGAGGUGCUGGAUUUGCCUUUCCUUCCCAAAGCCUGGAUUCUGGCUUUUAGUGGACGCUGAGAGCAACUCCAUAAUCUUCAGCUGGUUCCAGUUGGGUUCAUGCAUCUUGUCACCAAAAGUUGCACAUACAGGAAAGUGACUGACUAGAAGAGGUCAGUGCAGAUUCCCACCAUCAUCCUGCAGACCUGCAGAGCAUUAUCCCUCCAGGGUACUCUGACUCGGAGGAGAGGAAGAGUACGCCGAGGGAUGGCGAGAGCUAGAAACAGCGCGAGAAGGCAGGCGAGGAUGGCUACGGGAA
rnacentral:lncRNA from 1 species